UCCAUCGGGGGUGUCGGGG
rnacentral:misc_RNA from 1 species